CAAUAGCGUAUAUUUAAGUUGUUGCAGUUAAAAAGCUCGUAGUUGGAUUUCGGAUGGGACUUGCCGGUCCGUCGUUUCGAUGUGCACUGGCCAGUCCUAUCUUGUUGUCGGGGACUAGCUCCUGGGCUUCACUGUCCGGGACUAGGAGCUGACGAGGUUACUUUGAGUAAAUUAGAGUGUUCAAAGCAAGCCUACGCUCUGAAUACAUUAGCAUGGAAUAACACGAUAGGACUCUGGCUUAUCUUGUUGGUCUGUGAGACCAGAGUAAUGAUUAAGAGGGACAGUCGGGGGCAUUCGUAUUCCAUUGUCAGAGGUGAAAUUCUUGGAUUUAUGAAAGACGAACUUCUGCGAAAGCAUUUGUCAAGGAUGUUUUCAUUA
rnacentral:rRNA from 1 species